rnacentral:rRNA from 1 species
UCGAGAAUCUUCCGCAAUGGACGAAAGUCUGACGGAGCGACGUUACGUGAAUGAUGAAGCCCUUCGGGGUGUAAAGUUCUUUUCUCUGGGAGGAAGUCCCGCCGUAAGGCGGGACAGACAGUACCAGAGGAAUAAGAGGAUCCUAAUUCUGUGCCAGCAGGAGCGGUAAUACAGAAUCCUCGAGCGUUACCCGGAUUUAUUGGGCGUAAAGGGUCCGUAGGUGGUAGAGUAAGUUGAAAGUUAAAACUCAUCGGCUUAACCUUUGAGCUGCUUUCAAUACUGCUAUACUAGAGGGCGUUAGGGGUUAACGGAACCGACGGAGUAGGGGUGAAAUCCGUUGAUAUCGUCGGGAACACCAAAAGCGAAGGCAGUUAACUAGGACGACCCUGACACUGAGGGACGAAAGCGUGGGGAGCAAAAAGG